rnacentral:rRNA from 1 species
UGGGGAAUUUUGGACAAUGGGCGAAAGCCUGAUCCAGCAAUGCCGCGUGUGUGAAGAAGGCCUUCGGGUUGUAAAGCACUUUUGUCCGGAAAGAAAUCCUUGGCUCUAAUACAGUCGGGGGAUGACGGUACCGGAAGAAUAAGCACCGGCUAACUACGUGCCAGCAGCCGCGGUAAUACGUAGGGUGCAAGCGUUAAUCGGAAUUACUGGGCGUAAAGCGUGCGCAGGCGGUUUGCUAAGACCGAUGUGAAGUCCCCGGGCUCAACCUGGGAACUGCAUUGGUGACUGGCAGGCUAGAGUAUGGCAGAGGGGGGUAGAAUUCCACGUGUAGCAGUGAAAUGCGUAGAGAUGUGGAGGAAUACCGAUGGCGAAGGCAGCCCCCUGGGCCAAUACUGACGCUCAUGCACGAAAGCGUGGGGAGCAAACAGGAUUAGAUACCCUGGUAGUCCACGCCCUAAACGAUGUCAACUAGUUGUGGGAUUCAUUCCUUAGUAACGUAGCUAACGCGUGAAGUUGACCGCCUGGGGAGUACGGUCGCAAGAUUAAAACUCAAAGGAAUUGACGGGG